rnacentral:rRNA from 1 species
CCUACGGGAGGCAGCAGUGAGGCAUAUUGGUCAAUGGACGAAAGUCUGAACCAGCCAAGUAGCGUGAAGGAUGACUGCCCUCUGGGUUGUAAACUUCUUUUAUAAAGGAAUAAAACGAGGCAAGUGUGCCUUUUUGCAUGUACUUAAUGAAUAAGGAUCGCCUAACUCAGUGCCAGCAGCCGCGGUAAUACGGAGGAUCCGAGCGUUAUCCGGAUGUAUUGGGUUUAAAGGGAGCGUAGAUGGGUUGUUAAGUCAGUGGUGAAAGUUUGCGGCUCAACCGUAGAAUUGCAAUUGAUACUGGCAGUCUUGAGUACAGUAGAGGUAGGCGGAAUUCGUGGUGUAGCGGUGAAAUGCUUAGAUAUCACGAAGAACCCCGAUUGCGAAGGCAGCUUACUAAACUGUGACUGACAUUGAUGCUCGAAAGUGUGGGUAUCAAACAGGAUUAGAUACCCUAGUAGUC